AACUGACAAUGAUGAAUAUUGUUAAAAAACAAUGGGAAUCUCUCUGAAAAAGAGUGAAAGAGAACUUUUUACUGAUGCAGUG
rnacentral:snoRNA from 1 species